UGGGGAAUAUUGGACAAUGGGCGAAACCCUGAUCCAGCCAUGCCGCGUGAGUGAUGAAGGCCUUCGGGUUGUAAAGCUCUUUUGUGCGGGAAGAUAAUGACGGUACCCGAAGAAGAAGCCCCGGCUAACUUAGUGCCAGCAGCCGCGGUAAUGA
rnacentral:rRNA from 1 species